rnacentral:miRNA from 1 species
GAAAGCGCUUCUCUUUAGAGGA